AAGUCAUUUUGGGGGCAAUUCCUUAUCAAUCCUUUGUAGUGUUCCCAUGCUUCGUAUAGUAACUCCCCAGGUUGUUGCUUAAAAUUUUCUAUGGCUUUCUUUAGUUU